AAGCAUAUCAAUAAGCGGAGGAAAAGAAACUAACAAGGAUUCCCCUAGUAGCGGCGAGUGAAGCGGGAAGAGCUCAAAUUUGUAAUCUGGCGUCUUUCGGGCGUCCGAGUUGUAAUCUAUAGAAGUGUUUUCCGUGCUGGACCAUGUCCAAGUCCCUUGGAACAGGGUAUCAAAGAGGGUGACAAUCCCGUACUUGAUAUGGCCACCAGUGCUCUGUGAUACACUUUCUACGAGUCGAGUUGUUUGGGAAUGCAGCUCAAAAUGGGUGGUAAAUUCCAUCUAAAGCUAAAUAUUGGCGAGAGACCGAUAGCGAACAAGUACCGUGAGGGAAAGAUGAAAAGCACUUUGGAAAGAGAGUUAAACAGUACGUGAAAUUGUUGAAAGGGAAACGAUUGAAGUCAGUCGUGUUCAUUGGACUCAGCCGGUUCUUCCGGUCUAUUUCCUUUGAACGGGUCAACAUCAGUUUUGUCCGGUGGAUAAAGGCAGAGAGAAAGUGGCUCCCUCGGGAGUGUUAUAGCUUUUUGUCACAUACACUGGAGGAGACUGAGGACUGCAGCUCGCCUUUUGGCCGGGGUUCGCCCACGUUCGAGCUUAGGAUGUUGACAUAAUGGCUUUAAACGACCCGUCUUG
rnacentral:rRNA from 1 species